UGGGGAAUAUUGCGCAAUGGGGGAAACCCUGACGCAGCGACGCCGCGUGCGGGAUGAAGGCCUUCGGGUUGUAAACCGCUUUUGAGUGGGAGCAAGCUCUCGGGUGAGUGUACCUUUCGACUAAGCGCCGGCUAACUACGUGCCAGCAGCCGCUGUAAUACGUAGGGCGCAAGCGUUAUCCGGAAUUAUUGGGCGUAAAGAGCUUGUAGGCGGUUCGUCGCGUCUGGUGUGAAAGCCCAUCGCUUAACGGUGGGUUUGCGCCGGGUACGGGCGGGCUAGAGUGCAGUAGGGGGGACUGGAAUUCCCGGUGUAACGGUGGAAUGUGUAGAUAUCGGGAAGAACACCAAUGGCGAAGGCAGGUCUCUGGGCUGUUACUGACGCUGAGAAGCGAAAGCGUGGGGAGCGAACAGG
rnacentral:rRNA from 1 species